rnacentral:rRNA from 1 species
AGCGAAACGGGAAGAGCCCAAACCAACAAGCUUGCUUGUUGGGGUUGUAGGACACUCUAUACGGAGUUACAAAGGACGACAUUAGACGAAUCAUCUGGAAAGAUGAAUCAAAGAAGGUAAUAAUCCUGUAGUCGAAAAUGUUGUCUCUCUUGAGUGGAUCCUGAGUACGACGGAGCACGUGAAAUUCCGUCGGAAUCUGGGAGGACCAUCUCCUAAGGCUAAAUACUCUCUAGUGACCGAUAGUGAACCAGUACCGUGAGGGAAAGGUGAAAAGCACCCCGGAAGGGGAGUGAAAUAGAACCUGAAACCGUGUGCUUACAAGUAGUCAGAGCCCGUUAAUGGGUGAUGGCGUGCCUUUUGUAGAAUGAACCGGCGAGUUACGAUUUGAUGCAAGGUUAAGCAGUAAAUGUGGAGCCGUAGCGAAAGCGAGUCUGAAUAGGGCGUUUAGUAUUUGGUCGUAGACCCGAAACCAGGUGAUCUACCCUUGGUCAGGUUGAAGUUCAGGUAACACUGAAUGGAGGACCGAACCGACUUACGUUGAAAAGUGAGCGGAUGAACUGAGGGUAGCGGAGAAAUUCCAAUCGAACCUGGAGAUAGCUGGUUCUCUCCGAAAUAGCUUUAGGGCUAGCCUCAAGUGAUGAUUAUUGGAGGUAGAGCACUGUUUGGACGAGGGGCCCCUCUCGGGUUACCGAAUUCAGACAAACUCCGAAUGCCAAUUAAUUUAACUUGGGAGUCAGAACAUGGGUGAUAAGGUCCGUGUUCGAAAGGGAAACAGCCCAGACCACCAGCUAAGGUCCCAAAAUAUAUGUUAAGUGGAAAAGGAUGUGGCGUUGCCCAGACAACUAGGAUGUUGGCUUAGAAGCAGCCAUCAUUUAAAGAGUGCGUAAUAGCUCACUAGUCGAGUGACACUGCGCCGAAAAUGUACCGGGGCUAAACAUAUUACCGAAGCUGUGGAUUGUCCUUUGGACAAUGGUAGGAGAGCGUUCUAAGGGCGUUGAAGCAUAAUCGUAAGGACAUGUGGAGCGCUUAGAAGUGAGAAUGCCGGUGUGAGUAGCGAAAGACGGGUGAGAAUCCCGUCCACCGAUUGACUAAGGUUUCCAGAGGAAGGCUCGUCCGCUCUGGGUUAGUCGGGUCCUAAGCUGAGGCCGACAGGCGUAGGCGAUGGAUAACAGGUUGAUAUUCCUGUACCACCUAUAAUCGUUUUAAUCGAUGGGGGGACGCAGUAGGAUAGGCGAAGCGUGCGAUUGGAUUGCACGUCUAAGCAGUAAGGCUGAGUAUUAGGCAAAUCCGGUACUCGUUAAGGCUAAGCUGUGAUGGGGAGAAGACAUUGUGUCUUCGAGUCGUUGAUUUCACACUGCCGAGAAAAGCCUCUAGAUAGAAAAUAGGUGCCCGUACCGCAAACCGACACAGGUAGUCAAGAUGAGAAUUCUAAGGUGAGCGAGCGAACUCUCGUUAAGGAACUCGGCAAAAUGACCCCGUAACUUCGGGAGAAGGGGUGCUCUUUAGGGUUAACGCCCAGAAGAGCCGCAGUGAAUAGGCCCAAGCGACUGUUUAUCAAAAACACAGGUCUCUGCUAAACCGUAAGGUGAUGUAUAGGGGCUGACGCCUGCCCGGUGCUGGAAGGUUAAGAGGAGUGGUUAGCUUCUGCGAAGCUACGAAUCGAAGCCCCAGUAAACGGCGGCCGUAACUAUAACGGUCCUAAGGUAGCGAAAUUCCUUGUCGGGUAAGUUCCGACCCGCACGAAAGGCGUAACGAUUUGGGCACUGUCUCAACGAGAGACUCGGUGAAAUCAUAGUACCUGUGAAGAUGCAGGUUACCCGCGACAGGACGGAAAGACCCCGUGGAGCUUUACUGUAGCCUGAUAUUGAAAUUCGGCACAGCUUGUACAGGAUAGGUAGGAGCCUUUGAAACGUGAGCGCUAGCUUACGUGGAGGCGCUGGUGGGAUACUACCCUAGCUGUGUU